UGGGCGCGUUAAGUUAAGGCGCUCGAGCGCGCUCUAGCCAGCAGAGCGCGCUCUUUUAAGCUUAACGACUAAAAAGCGACUUCCGGUGCGUGAUUGCGGAGCGCGCUCUACGCGCACCAUCCUGGAAACGGUGCGCGAGAGCGCGCACCUGCUACGGCUUCCGGAAAAAUGACGUCUUUCCUACUCUUUCCACCAAUGCAAGUCCGUUCUCCUUGCCCACUCGUUCCUCUCGCCGCCGCGCUGCCGGCCGUCUGAAGCUGCUGUCAGGCGAGAUCGGCAACGUGUUGGCGCGCAUUGAGCUUGCAUCGCAUCGUAAGCUGCUGCUGCUGCCUCCGUCGCCGCGCGUCAAGUUCUUCUACCUCUUCAUCGUCUAAACAAGGGCUGCAGAAGUACGGUCGGCGGGGCCAUUUUCGAGAAGCGCGCGAAGUGCAAUAGCGGAUGCGGAAGCAACAUAACAUUUGCCAGACGGCACGUUCGUGCACCCGAAAACAGUCGGCGAAAAUGGCCGUUAAGUUAAGCUCCGAAGGCGUCGCACUCGAGCGCACUCGAGCGUGCUCCCUUGGAGUUCGGAGCGCGCUAACUUAACGCGCCCAUUCUAUGCUCGCGCAGCAGCAGGAGCGAAAUGCCGGUGUUGCACAGCGGUGUCACAGAGCCACCGCGCUGCGACCACUUCGGCGGCACAAUCCAAAUUUGUCGGACAUCUCAUUCUGUGCUGGAAACACUGGGAGGCAGGAAGUUUGAAAAAAACGGCCACUCCCGCCCGCGAUGUCUCGGUCGUAGGUUCGUUAUGCCACUUGUUCAAGCCGUUCUGUACAUUUAUACUGGAUAUUAACUGGAGUCAUUUAGCUGUUCUGAUGCUGUUUGCCGUGUGUUUUGCAUCAGUGCUUCGUGACAUCGGCUGUAUUGCGUAUUUUCGCCGACGGCUUACUACCACAAUGGCGGGAUCUGCGUUCGCCGCCUUCGUGUCUCGGUGCGUCUUUGUACGUCGCACGUUCGGAUAACACUUUUUCCGACGGCUGGACAUCCUUCUUGUACCUUGGCGCUAGCUGGAUGACGGGACCUCAUCAUGAUCAGUGUAUUGCUUUCCUGUCUACAAGAACUGUCAUGUGUGGCCUGUGACAGCAAGCUUUUGUGGGCAGCCAGUGCUCUCCUACGAAGGCUGGCCUACUCUGGCAGCGGCGGCAAUCAUCUUUAAGAUUUAUCGAUGAUCACCUUUGCUGCUAUUUGUCACUCUUCUUAAUUACACUUUCUGAAUCUUUUCUAAUCUAUUAGGUAAUAAAGUAUGAGUAUGUGACAGGGUGUGAAGUUGAUGCCUUGCUGCAUUUUAGCUUGCAAUCACCUUUUAUGCAUGAAAAGCUCAUCAUACAAUUUAUGAAAAAAAGAAAUAACAGCAUAUUAUGAUUUAUCUUUCAGUAUCUUGUAACAUGCAACAUACAAGGAAUUCACUAAUGGAUGGUAUGCCGAAGAACUGGCCAUUAUUUCUGCGUGAUGCUGUGCAAGCAUUUGGCGUUACCUUACAAGAGGCACCCGGAAAGUAAGUUACAAUUUACUUUUAAAUGAAGCAUGGACAUCAGAAAAAAUAUAUUUAUAUUGCUAGUUAGAGUGGUUCGCAGAGUGUUUUUCCAGAUGUGUACUAUCCUUUAUUUCUUAACUCAUUGCAGCAGUGUUCUGUUGCGUAUACUGGUGUAAGGCUAUUGUGCCCCCUGUAGCUGAAACCAGGAUAUAAUUUUUGCCUGAACUGCAGCAUCACUGACAAAAUUUUUCUUUGCUAGAAACUAUUUCAAUUUGGUGGAGACCCAGCAGGGCGAAGUUUUGUCAAUAAUGGUGUGUUUCACGCAGAGAUGUUCUUGUUUAGGUCAAUGAGUGAACAUUGGGAGUAUAUCAGCAUACAAUACAGAUCUUGUUUGAUUUGCAAAAUAAUUCUGACAGGUGGCAUUCAAUUGAUUGGUCUAAUUAAAAAGCACAAAUUGACCAAUGAGGCUGUACUACACUAUUCCCAUGUUUCACAUCUGGAAAAACUACCUCUGCAUCACUCUAUCCGACAAUAUAAACUUUUUUUUCUGAUGUCCAUGCCUCGUUUAAAAUAAAUUGUAACUGUGGGCAAACGUCGUGUUACUGUAAGAGCUGCCGCAAAAAUUUGAGGGAAUGUCUAAUAAAAGUCUUCAGUUGUUCUUGUCAAGCUGUCCAUUAGCCAACUUUUAGCGUAACGUUAGCAGGGCUAACUGAAGUACUUCUAGACGUCCAUGGCUACAAAAUGUCUUGAUCAAGACAGCUACUAGGCUUUUGAAUUAGCCGUUGAAGACAUCUUUUAGACAUCAAAUAGC